UCUUAGCCCUUCCUCCCUCAGGAUGGCACCCCUGCUGCGGGAAACUCGCUCUUGGCUCCCCACUGUCGUGGGGACAAAGUCCAAACUACUUUUUUUUUUUUUUUUUUUUUUUGCCUUAAAGCCCUUCAGGUCUGGCUUGAUGCACUCUCCCUUGCUCUCUACAAUCCUGCCGCACCGACUGACUCACUCUUUCUAAAAUGGCUCCACCGCCGUGAACAGAGAUUCGGUUUUCUUCCCUGCCUUAUCUUCAGUGCCUACAACAAUGCCAGAAAUGGAAGCCUCACGAGAGCAGAGAUGACAUCGCUGUUCCUGGUGUUGGUGGCCAGGCCCACACUAGAAAUGCACACACUCAAGGGACAUCUGCAAAUGAAUGAAUGUCUCCCAGUCGGAUGUUGUGUCUCUCUGGACGUGGAGGCCAGGCCUGGGAGGGGAAAAGAGGGUUCCCUCCACAACACCACCUAGAGGAUAAAAGCAAAGGAGCCCAAGGAGGCCCCACCUGACCCGGCCCCAUCUGCUCCCUGACCUAGCGGCUGAACACGCCCCUUCACUUAGUCUGCUACAGCCACGCUUUGGCCGCGCAGCCCUGCCAAAAGCUGAGCCCUCUGCCUGGAGUCCCCUUGCUCUCCGCAUUCCUCCUUCGUGUCACUUCCCCUCCCUGGGAGGCAACUGGUGUGAUGAAACAGAGGUGAGACGUGUGGACUGUGGAGACACACCACCAGCCACAAGCUGUGUGAUCUCGGGUAAGCUGAUGGGCCUUUCUGUGCCUCCACUCCCUUACCAUACAAGGGAGGCACUAAGAACGGCUGCUAUUUACUGAGCACCUACUAUGUGCCACUGUGAGUGAAGUACUACUCAAAGGAGUUUUGAGAGGAUUAAGUGGCAUUCAUUGGUUAGGCACUGGGUGCCCAGCACACAGUAAGUGCUCAAUAAACAAAUGCUGGUAGCAUUGACUGCUCCUCUUGUGUACCCUGAAGGCUUCCUUUCAGAUUAUUCAGGGAACUCUUUUCUUUGUCUUUUUUCUUUUUAGGGCCGCACCCGCGGCAUAUGGAGGUUCCCAGGCUGGGGGUCUCACCGGAGCUGCAGC